rnacentral:rRNA from 1 species
GAUGAACGCUGGCGGCGUGCUUAAUACAUGUAAGUCGGACGGAGCGUUAGCAAUAGCGCUUAGUGGCGAACGGGUGAGUAACACGUUGGUGACCUGCCCCGAAGCGGGGGAUAACAGUUCGAAAGGACUGCUUAUACCGCAUGACAACGUGGCGAUUAGAAGGCCAAGUUGAAAGCAGCGAUGCGCUUUGGGAGGGACCUGCGGCCCAUCAGCUAGUCGGUAAGGUAGUGGCUUACCAAGGCGACGACGGGUAGGGGGCCUGAGAGGGUGAUCCCCCACACUGGCACUGAAACACGGGCCAGACACCUACGGGUGGCAGCAGUAGGGAAUAUUGCACAAUGGGCGAAAGCCUGAUGCAGCAACGCCGCGUGCACGAUGAAGGCCUUCGGGUUGUAAAGUGCUUUUCUGCAGGACGAGGAAGGACGGUACUGUAGGAAUAAGGAUCGGCUAACUACGUGCCAGCAGCCGCGGUAACAC